UAUCACUUUUUACUGGUGUACUUCUUUUUCUUUGGAGAAUAACGUUUGCUGGUAGACUUUCAAGCCUUAAACACCAAAAAACACUAAUAAAUGCAUCAGAUAAGAAAUAUGCAAAAACGAGAAAACAUUUGUCUGGAGACCUACAGGGAUAACAAACUCUACAGGUAGAGAUGUUAAUUUUGGAUCAUGCUACCUCCAUAUUCCAAAUUAACUCAUAGGAUAACAACAUCCAAUCGUUUAUGACACCACAGUAAACACAACUACGUGUAUUCGGGGUGGAGGCUACAUCUGAGGCAAAAUACCCGUUUAAACAAAACUUCAUAUGACAACGUCUUGAAUCACGGCACUCGCUGGAGCAUGCACCUCACGUUACCAAUCUGAACAGGCACCUGUACUGUCUCCUGAGAUCUUCAGGUCAGCGCCAACACCACUGCACCUAACUGGCUUCAGCAGCCAUGAGAUGGGGAUCUCCAUCAC